GAUGAAGAUGAGCAGAAGGCAGAGCAGAUGCAGAUUAAGGCACUGGCUCAGAACAAGACUCUGAAGCACCAGAGGAUCUCUUGCCUCACCAAAGCAUGUAAGUCUACUGUACGAGCUGUGUGUGCAUGUGUUAUGUUGAUGGGGAUGUUUUUAAUAAUGUCGGUAUUGAUAUACAUGUGCGUCUCUCUUCAUAUCAAAUGUAUUUAUAAAGCCCUUCUUACAUCAGCUGAUAUCUCAAAGGGCUGUACAGAAACCCAGCCUAAAACCCCAAACAGCAAGCAAUGCAGGUGUAGGCUUUGAGGGGUGGUCAGUCCUCUUCUGGCUGUGCCGGGUGGAGAUUAUGACAGAACAUGGCCAAGAUGUAGGGACCAGCCCUUCAUAAGGACCAGCCCUUCCUCCAAAAACAUUUCCCUAAUCUCUACCGUGUGCUCUCUGUCAACCCUUCCAGCCCGGUCAACCCCUCCGCCCCCGUCAACCCCUCCGCCCCCGUCAACCCCUCCGCCCCCGUCAACCCCUCCGGCCCGGUCAACCCCUCCGGCCCGGUCAACCCCUCCGGCCCGGUCAACCCCUUCAGCCCCUUCAACCUCUACGGCCGCGUCAACCCCUUCAAAUCUAAGAAUGAAGAGAACCCUGGCCAUGACCCCUGAAAGUGAGACAAAAAGACCCAGGUUGAAUGGUUUCCAUAACAACACCCCCAUGGAGACUGUAUCACUGACUGCAGAAACAACCAUGUCAUCCACGUCAGUCGUCAUCUCUAUUGACAAUGACGACGAUAACAUCAUGGAUGACGAUGACAUUAUGAUCUUGGAGAUCAACAGCACCCCUAUUCAAAAGAAGGCAACCUUUGACCUUGCCAUGGUAAAAUCAGAGAGCAGGGCUAUGGAGACACCUGGCACUGGCAACGUUAAAACUAGCUGCACAGGAACAAGCUCUGUGGAGAUGGGAACUGCGGCGACCAGAUACUCCCCUCCACCACCUUCCUCAGAGCAGGUGAGCAUCACCACCCAGACAGAGAUAUGGAGCAAAGUGAAGGACGAAGAUGAGGAGCACAAGGAGAAAAGGGAGAAGGAGUAUAAAGGGAGGGACAGAACCGAACCAGGCCCUUCCACACCAAACCCACCCUCUGCUGGCCCAUCCACACCAGGCCCAUCCUCUUCUGGUCCAUCCGCCCCAGACCCAUCAGACCAUUCUAUGAUUGACUUCCGUAACAUGUCAGAGGCCCAGGAGCAGCAGGACCAGCUGCUGGAGCUCAUGCAGGCUGCAGCCCACGAGAGGGACCAGUUCAAGGAGCAAGUCAACAAGUUGACCACCCAGCUCCAUAACCUGGAGGGCAGCAUGCAGGAGCUCUCCCAGGCCACUGUGAAGAGAGAGUUCUGCCACCAGGCCUGUCAGACUGGAGAAGGAGGGGAAGAAGGAGAGCAGUCGGAGAGGAUUAAGGUUGAGAUUAUAGAGGAGGAGAGGGGCAACCUCUGGUCUCUUUGUGAGACGCUGCAGCAGGACGUGGUGGAGCUGAGGAGGGAGAAACAAGAGUGGGAGAGAGAGAAACAGGAGAGAGAGAAACAGGAGAGAGAGAAACAGGAGAGAGAGAAACAGGAGAGAGAGAAACGGCUGACAGAGAAACAGGAGAGCGAGGGAGCUCAGGCAUCAGCUGCCCAGGCAGAGAGACUGAGGGAGCUUCGGAGGAGCGUUGGUCGUCUCCUGGUCACGUUUGUCCCAGCGCUGGACCUCGAACAAGUAAACUAUGACUGUUCAGUCAUUGACGAGAUCCUCGACCAGGUUCUUACUGACGUGGAGUCCAUGGGGCCUGUGUAG
rnacentral:lncRNA from 8 species